rnacentral:misc_RNA from 1 species
ACUUUUGUCAAAACGAAAGUUGCUUAGACAGCUGGGAAAGGGAAAUCGUGAAAAACGAGCAGACCCCCUAACGCCAGAGGAAAUCGAUCUUCUUUAUGAAAGGAAUCUUCUUGGAACUGGAGAUCCCAAGUCACUGAUAAAUGUUUUGUAUCUUAACAAUACAAUGCAUUUUGGAAUGAGAAGCAGAGCUGAACAUGUAGGUCUUAGAUGGGGUGAUGUGCAGCAAAAGGCCACCUCGACUGGAGAGGAAUAUUUAGAAUAUAGAGAGAGAUCAACAAAGACAAGAACUGGGGUCACAAGUGAGAGUCGGAGUUUUGCACCAAAGAUGUUUGAAAAUAGAGAUAAUCCCCGAUGCCCUGUGUUAGCGUAUAAGGAGUUUGCAAGGAGAAGACCAGAACAGAUGAACAACCCCGAGUCGCCAUUUUACUUAGGAGUUUCAAGGCACCAUGAAAAAGCUUGGUAUGUCAACCAACCAAUGGGAAAGAAUACGAUUGGCAACAUUGUGAAGGUCAUGUGUGAGGCAGGGGGAAUCCAAGGAAGAAAAGUUAACCACAGUGCAAGAAAGACAGCCAUUAGUUCCCUAGUACAUGCUGGUGUCCCCCCAACCAUAAUUCAGCAGCUGUCUGGCCAUAAGAAUGUUAACUCUAUUAAUAAUUACAGCACUGCCUCCAAUGAACAGCAGAGGCACAUGUCUUCUAUUCUUACAAACUAUUCAUCUAGUUGCUCGGAACCACCAGUCACUGAAUUCGACAGUUCCUCUUCAUCCCUUGAUAAAUGUAGCUCAGCUCUGCCAUCCACCAGUGUGGUGCCUUCAUCAAACACUGAUGAUAUUAUUCAUCAAACACUGACUGAAAUAAGUUCUUAAGAAAAUCAACCCAUAAUGAAAGAGCAUGUCUUUGGCAAUUUUAGGGGGGCCAAUAUUUCUGGCAAUGUUAUAUUUAACUUCUCUUCCAAACAACCAAAAUCCCGUAAGAGAUGUAGAGUCAUCUACAGUGAUUCAGAGUCAGAUUAAGAAAAAGGAACUAGAUCUGUGAUAUCUUGUAAAUAUGUUCAAAUAUUAAAGUGAAGUUGUGUUAUAGCUAUAAUAACUGUGAUAUUUUCUUUGUUAUUAAAUUUUGUUAUUGUUAAAAAAUAUAAAAGAUUAUUUGUGUUUAAAUUAUCUGUUAAGUUUACCAGUAAUGUGUUAAAUUUUGUCUUUAUACAUGUAUCAUAUUGUUUAAAAUGAGUUUUGAAUCAUUUAUGUUUAUAAGAAAAAGGAACUGGGUCUGUUAUAUCUUGUAAAUAUAUAUAUGUUCAAAUAUUAAAAGUGAUAUAAAUGUGAUAUUUUCUUUGUUAUUAAAUUUUGUUAUUGUUAAACAAUAUGAAAGUUUAUGUGUUCAAAUUAUCUAUUAAGUUGUUGUUUGUUAUAAUUGUGUUAAAUUAUGUCUUUAUACAUGUAUCAUAUUGUUUAAAAAUGAAAUAUCAUUUAUGUUCAUAUUCUCUGUUUAAGUUGUUGUUAUUAAACAAACUACAUUGU